UCAAUAUUGGGUUACUUUUUUUUUUUUUUAAAAAAAAAAAACAUUUUUAACUUUCUUUUUUAUAAAAAAAAAAAUCACAAUAUAUAGUCAGCAGUUUAACAUACUGUUAGUACACAACUACUCUUCCAUCUUAUCCAUAACUUCCCCUAUUAUAUCUCAUCAUCCAAAACCUGUCCUACUUCCAUAUAACUCCUUAUAUAGGGUAAAAUACUUCAAUUAUGCAAAUCUCUUUCAACAUUCUCCAAAUACUGACGUCCUUUAAAAAAAUUGUCACAGUUCAUCAGCAAUAUCACAAUUCAAAAAAUGCGAUGGAAAACACUUAUCUUUGCAUUAACCAGACGUUUGAAUUUGACAAAGAUCGCCUUAAUUGUCGCAGUUAUUCUAUUAUUCAGGUACGUAUGUUUGAAUUUUCUCUUUGUGUGGAUUAUAUACUUUCUAAGUUAGAAAUUGUUGUCUGUAGGCAUGCGUUGUUGUACUUUAUAAUAUUGACUUUGAUGUUAUGAUUCAUCAAUGUUGUUGGUUAUUUUUUUUUAGUUAAAUUAUUUUUCUCAGAGAAUCAUUUGUACAUUGUGAAUGGUUGGAUGUGUCAUUGGAUUUCAAAGUCACUCUGUGUGUUUGAUUUCUCCCAAAUGGAACUGCAAUCAUUCGAUGAAAUAAGUGGAAACAUUCUUUGAUUGAUUCUGUGUAUCAGGAUGGUUCAAAGCUUUGAAUUUUGUGUUUUGGUAAUUCAUUUUUGGUGUUACUUUUGGAGUUUGGAACUAAGAUAGAAAUUGGUUGAUUUUCAGAAGCAACAGGGCAAUGCAGUGGCUGUUGCUCUGUAUUAUCACUCGGGAAAUUCCAGCCCGACUGGUAAUGGGGAGGUUCUGUGAUGGUGCAAUGACUUCUGUCAGCCUAAUUUAAUCAUUUUCCCUCUAAGACACAUUUUUUCUCUGUUAACUCUUUUCAUCUCUUGACUAUCUCAUUAGAUUAUGAAGUUAAUAAAACACAUUAAUGGAGUAGAUUUUCAUAAAUUCAUCAAAUAUGUGAUACUAGAAAGGGAAGUAAGCAAGAAACUACUGAUUUCCUCUCCCAAAUAUAUUUAGUUUGUACUAUGUUAUGUAUAUUACCUUGUCUAUUAUCAAGUUUACAUGGUUAUAUGCUGCUAUUGUUGCGUCAAAUUUAAGUCUGAUGUAAAUUUAUCAAGUUUUGCUCUUAAAUUUUGAAGGUUCUUUAGUAGUAUGUUACUAAUUGAGGGAGGAAUCUACAGAUUGAUUUUAAAAUAAUAAGUCUUCCAGUAUAAAUCAAGUACAUUGCUGCAGUUUGAAGGUAGAUUCUUUCUCUUAUUUUGUCGGUUGAACUUACUAUAUAGUAAUAGAAACGAAAAUUUUAUUAUUUUACAUGUUGAAGAAGAAGCAGAUAAGUGUUGCUUAAUGAUGCCUCAAAAAUCGAACGUAUUAUAUAGUAAUAGACAUCAAAACUUUAUUAUUGUACAUGUUGAAGAAGACGCAGAUAAGAUUUGUUUAAUUAUGCCACAAAAAUCGAAUAGGUAAUAGAUUUUAUACCCAAUUGUGGAUAGCAGAAGCAUUCGAAAGAAGAAGUUCAACAAACAAACAAAAAAAAGAAAUAGUGAGAAUUUUCAGGUAUUGUGCAUUUUAUUUCUUGGCAAGUAUUUUAUCGUUCUUUGUUGAAAUUGUUGUAAUGUAAGCCUGUGGUUUUGUACAUUUUACUUUGGAUUUUGCAAUUCAGUAAUGCGUUUGAUUAUACUCUUUGUUUAUUUGGGAAAUCCCUUUUUUGGGUUCUUGGAAUUUGGAAUGAAUUAGAAGCAAUAUUCCAAUGCAGCAGCUAUAGCUUUGUACAACUACCUGGGCAAUGCCAGCCCUGCUCAUGAUAUGGGCGACAUGCUUUCAUUGCUAUGUUUCUUCAGUCUGCACAUCGGAACAUUUGUCCUCUCAAACUCUAAUUUUGACUAUCUUCUUUAUAUGAAAAUUAGUUUUUCAUAAGAGGAAUACAUAUAGUGGAAGAUAGAAAGUCGGAGGCAUUACAACAGAAAAUUGAUCAUGCUUACUUAACUUCAAAGGUUGUUGUAGGAAGGUGCUUAUUUUUCUCCAAUACUCCCUUUUCUCUUAAUACAAUACAGUUUUGAAGAUGGUUACAACUUACCUACUUAUCCUUUUUUUGUGGUAAUUGAAGGAGUUCUCAAAUACGCAGUAUUGCAUUUCUUAGGUCACCUAAUUUUGAGUAUCUGUAUUUUUCUUAGCUGUUUAUGUAAUCAAUGAUCUACUGAUGAGCCCAUCUUUCAAAGCCUUGGUAUGGGCCUUGCCAUCAAAUUGAAAUAACUGCUACUCUUUUGAGGAAAACGUUGUUCCGAUUAGUCUCAUUCUUGUGAAUAGGUUCCUGCUCUCUUGCACUAUUACUUAUAUAUCAAUUUUGCACAGUUUCUGAUUAAUAGACUUGCCUAUGCUAAUGCUAUCAUUCAAUUUACAGCUUACUAUGUGGUUGUUGAUGAGCCAGUUGGAAGACAAUUUGCAAUAGUCUUUUUGGAGCGUGUUAAGAUGAUUUUAGGUCAAAAUAUGGGGAUGAAAACGUUGUAACAACUCGUCCAAAUAACCUGAACAAGGAAUUCAGAGUGGGAAUGAUGCCUCUCAGUGACACUGAAAUUGGUGAAUCGCAUAUUGCUAGCACCAUCUAUGAUACUUUGCCACUGUUUUUUUUUUUUUCACAACACCUUCAAGAUUGAGCAUUUCUCCAACUCUCCCUCUGUGUUCUUGUGGGUGUUCAAUCAAAUUCCAAGCUCAUUUUAAAAGAAUCACAUGUUUUAUGUCUUUAUAGUGUUGAGGAGGUCAAGAAUGGCUGUAAAAAGUUGAUUUUUGGGGUUGGAACUCAGAUAACGGUGGAGCUGCAGCAACAAGAUUGGAAUAGCUGCAAAGUACAUGAAAUAUAGUGACUCUAAACAAUCGGUUGGGGUUAGACUUAAAGAUCUUCUUGAUCGAAUGAUCCUUGAAGAAAGCAUAGGCCGAAUAAUUUUGAUUGAUAAGACUGAAUCUAUAAUUAAAAUCAUGAAGCACUACUAUUAUGUCAGAAAAUUUUUAAAUCUUUAAAAUACAGCCAUUUCCAUAUUUUUAAUUUAUUUAUGGUACAUUUUGAUUGCAUCUACUUGUUCUUCUAUGGUUGGUUUUCUUAAUUUUUGGAGAUUCAAUAAUGUUAUUCUAUAUGAAAUAGUAAUCCGUGUUUACUUGGAUUACUACUUAAGUUA